AGAACGAACGCUGGCGGCAGGCUUAACACAUGCAAGUCGAACGCCCCGCAAGGGGAGUGGCAGACGGGUGAGUAACGCGUGGGAAUCUACCUAGUUCUACGGAACAACAGUUGGAAACGACUGCUAAUACCGUAUACGCCCUACGGGGGAAAGAUUUAUCGGAAUUAGAUGAGCCCGCGUAAGAUUAGCUAGUUGGUGGGGUAAUGGCCUACCAAGGCGACGAUCUUUAGCUGGUCUGAGAGGAUGAUCAGCCACACUGGGACUGAGACACGGCCCAGACUCCUACGGGAGGCAGCAGUGGGGAAUAUUGGACAAUGGGCGCAAGCCUGAUCCAGCCAUGCCGCGUGAGUGAUGAAGGCCUUAGGGUUGUAAAGCUCUUUCAGUGGGGAAGAUAAUGACGGUACCACAGAAGAAGCCCGGCUAACUCGUGCCAGCAGCCGC
rnacentral:rRNA from 1 species